AUACGAAGGGGGCUAGCGUUGUUCGGAAUCACUGGGCGUAAAGCGCGCGUAGGUGGAUCAAUUAGUUGAGGGUGAAAUCCCGAGGCUCAACCUCGGAACUGCCUUCAAUACUGUUGAUCUUGAGACCGAGAGAGGUGAGUGGAAUUCCUAGUGUAGAGGUGAAAUUCGUAGAUAUUAGGAAGAACACCAGUGGCGAAGGCGGCUCACUGGCUCGGUACUGACGCUGAGGUGCGAAAGCGUGGGGAGCAAACAGGAUUAGAAACCCUAGUAGUCC
rnacentral:rRNA from 1 species